UUUCUGGUCUCGUCAACUCCUGUGAUUUAUCCAAAGCAGGUCCUGAGCACACAGGAGUAACCUGAGGCCGGUGCGCUUGCAUAUUAGUCCGCCGCGGAGUAAUAUUCCGAAAUUACUGGAUUUUGUGGAUGGCGGAUAUGUGGAAUGGAUCUAGCUGCCAGCGUUCAAGGAGGACGAAACAGACUAUGAUGUCAACAACGGUGGAACGCCCCUCGGAAGAACUCAUCGGAUCGAUACGAUUCACAUCUCCUCGAGAGCAGUGAUGUUUUGGAGUUGUCGCUGGGCAACAAGACUUUCAACUCCCUCGAAGAUUUUCUCUGGAGUUGAGAUCUGGAGAAUGGCUAGACCACUCCAGAACCUUCAAAUGUUCCACUCCUUUGGGCGGUGUGUUUGGGAUCAUUGUCAUGUCGAAAGACCCAGCCACGUUUCAUCUUCAAUCCCCUUGCUGAUGGAAGGUCUUUAAGUACUGCAUAGGCACUCCCACUGCACACUGGUGUAGCACUGCCUGGCUCACGAGCCCUGUCCUGUCCCAUCUUGCACAGUCCUAUUUGAUUCUCGUUGUGUCCCUUCCUCACAGGGUGCGGCACUCCCGCCCCAGCCCACACAAUAUACUGUACGUAGAACUCAACUCCUCUGUAAGAUCGUAGUUAAAUCUUGUGUUCAAUUGUUUUUAAAUGUCUAAAAAUGUUCAAAAUUUAUUAUUUUAUCCAAAGUAUUCCAAUGAGUAUUCUUACAAAUUUUGAAUCAAAUAAAUUAAUAACUAAAGGAAAAUGUCAGCUAUUAUGCACUCUUUUCGAGUUAUUUCAAAGUUUGUGCCGUGGUAUCGUUUCAGUAUCAGCACUUGGUUUCAGUAUAAAGUACGAGGUGCUUUAUGCCGACGUCACAAUUUAAAGAAAUGUUUUCCCUCCAACAUUUGGGAGGAAGCUAACUUGAACAAAAGGCACACAACUACAGCUAAAAUGAUUUUGUUCUGACCUGGAACCUUUCUUGUUGGGUUCAUCAUGGGGUCGGAUGUAGUUCACCUUCUCGUUGGUAAUCACACAUAGAUCUAUGUUACUGCCAGAACCGAGAUCAUUGAAUAUUCCUGCAGCGAUGGCAUCACGCACAAGCAACUUGGCAUCCUCUUCCUAUUUAAUAAAUGCAGUUGAUCAAUAAUAUACACAUAAAAAGUAUAUUUGCUCGUUUGAUUGGUGUAAUCAACAUUUGAUUGCCUUACUU